rnacentral:rRNA from 1 species
UACGAAGGGGGCUAGCGUUGCUCGGAAUCACUGGGCGUAAAGGGUGCGUAGGCGGGUUCUUAAGUCAGAGGUGAAAUCCUGGAGCUCAACUCCAGAACUGCCUUUGAUACUGAGAGUCUUGAGUAUGACAGAGGUGAGUGGAACUGCGAGUGUAGAGGUGAAAUUCGUAGAUAUUCGCAAGAACACCAGUGGCGAAGGCGGCUCACUGGGUCAUUACUGACGCUGAGGCACGAAAGCGUGGGGAGCGAACAGG